GGCCACAUGCUAACUGCUGUGGUGAUAUGUAAAGCGAAAUGUGAAAUGUGAGUCUUGCCCCUAACGAACUGUUGAAGAAAAAUUAUUCUGAGAUUUAAGAUGGCAAGGAAGACUUUAUUUAAGUUUAUUGCAGUAGUGAGAGAGAUUGAACUCGACUUUUAAUACAACAGUGGGGACUCACUGCCAAAGGGCAGGUGAGGGAAUGGAUGGAAAAUUAUUAAGAGAAACUUGGUUAAGUGCCAAGGGUGGAGGAGCUUGAUUGGAUAGCGAAGGUGAGCCGAUUCUUGACCGACUGGCUUACUGGGUACUUUGCUAAAACUGGGCUCAGCAGGCCAAGGGAGGCCUGGUGAAGUGGGUGUGAAGGAGGCUGACUAAAGUUGGCCCAAGGAGAGAGUUUUUGUCAGCGUUCACCAAGUAGUGCGAGUCAGGGCCCAAACAUUGGUCUUAGAAUGAUGAGAUUCAGGGCUGAACAGGGUGCCAGCCGUGGACACAGCUGGAGCUCGGAGAGGCGCCUGUGGGUGAGUUUGGGCUAUUCCAGUCCCUGACUUCAGGGCUGAUGAUUGGACAGUCACACUGACUUCAUCCCAUGUUCGUUCAUUUCUUACUACUCUGUGACAACCACAUACUCUUUGUCUGGUGCUUUGCAAGCUUGUGUUUCUAGGGUUUGAUACUUUCUACCACAAGUGAGGGUGGAAAGUACAAAGGCUUUAUUUAGACCUUGGACAAGGAUUUUAACCUCAUGUUUCUCUUCUGCAGUGUUGCGACAGUACCUGUAAUAGACUGAAUCAUGUCUCCCAAAAUUCAUAUAUUGAAACCCUAAGCCCCAACGUGACUCUGGAGAUACGGCCUGUAAGGAGAGGAAAGACCACGUGAGGAUACAGUGAGAAGGUGCCUGCCAAAAGCCAGGAAGAGAGAUUUCACUAGAAACUGAAUUGUCCAGCACCUUGAUCUUGGACUUCUUGCCUCUGGAACGUGGCGGAGACUUCAGGAAGCCCACACAAGUCAAGGGGCCAAAGCAAACCAGUGUCAGCAGGGGGAAAUCAGAGGGACUUCCCCCAAGUCCUUCCUGUCAAAGAAAGAAGCGUUAGAGACCUUCAUGAUGGAAAAAGCCACAUCUCAAGGACUAUUCCAGACUGGGUAAGUGUUACCUUAGUGGGGCUGCUACCCCUUGGGUUUUACUCCAGGACAAUGGGCUUCAUCCUUCAGCUCCAGGAAUCUGGGAUUUAAAGCAGGAUUUCACAGCUUCAAACAAUCUGAGGCUAAUGCUCACUUCCAAGGAGCAUGAGGGUCUUCUCAUUGGCAGCAGGUGGGAAGUGAUGGGCAUUUGGAUCCCUUGGUAUUCAUGGAUGAAUUGGAGGCCAGUGACAUGGUGAGCCAGUGACUCUGUGAGGCGUCUUCUGACAUUUUCUGCCCCUGCCUCUAACUUUCCCCACACGGACUGUAAGAACCAGCACUACAAGGACUCACUUAGACAUGCUCAUAACUGUUAAAGCAUCACUAGGGUCUGUACACGGACCAUGUCCCUUCACAACAAACAUCUUUUGAAUGUUCCUUCACAUUAGAGGAA